UACGGGGGGGGCAAGCGUUGUUCGGAAUUACUGGGCGUAAAGGGCUCGUAGGUGGCCAACUAAGUCAGACGUGAAAUCCCUCAGCUUAACUGGGGAACUGCGUCUGAUACUGGAUGGCUUGAGUUUGGGAGAGGGAUGCGGAAUUCCAGGUGUAGCGGUGAAAUGCGUAGAUAUCUGGAGGAACACCGGUGGGGAAGGCGGCAGCCUGGACCAACACUGACACUGAGGAGCGAACAGG
rnacentral:rRNA from 1 species